AGCGAACGCUGGCGGCAGGCCUAACACAUGCAAGUCGAACGGAUCCUUCGGGAUUAGUGGCGGACGGGUGAGUAACACGUGGGAACGUGCCUUUUGGUUCGGAAUAACUCAGGGAAACUUGUGCUAAUACCGAAUGUGCCCUUCGGGGGAAAGAUUUAUCGGAAUUAGAUGAGCCCGCGUAAGAUUAGCUAGUUGGUGAG
rnacentral:rRNA from 1 species